CUGGCGGCGUGCCUAAUACAUGCAAGUCGAACGGUCUUUCUAUGGAAGCUUGCUCCACUGAGAAGAUAGUGGCGAACGGGUGAGUAACACGUGGGUAACCUGCCCAUAAGAGGGGGGAUAACAUCCGGAAACGGGUGCUAAUACCGCAUAGUUUUCUUGAUCGCAUGAUUGAGAAAGGAAAGACGGCCUUUGUGCUGUCGCUUAUGGAUGGACCCGCGGCGUAUUAGUUAGUUGGUGAGGUAACGGCUCACCAAGACGAUGAUACGUAGCCGACCUGAGAGGGUGAUCGGCCACAUUGGGACUGAGACACGGCCCAAACUCCUACGGGAGGCAGCAGUAGGGAAUCUUCCGCAAUGGACGAAAGUCUGACGGAGCAACGCCGCGUGAGUGAAAGAAGGUUUUCGGAUCGUAAAACUCUGUUGUCAGAGAAGAACAAGUUGGAGAGUAACUGCUCCAGCCUUGACGGUAUCCGACCAGAAAGCCACGGCUAACUACGUGCCAGCAGCGGC
rnacentral:rRNA from 1 species